rnacentral:ncRNA from 1 species
GGUCCUGAACUUACCGUUGAUUUUGACUAAAAUUACACAUGCAAGUAUCCGCAAACCAGUGAAAAUCCGCCCAAAGAUAAAAAAUGGAGCAGGUAUCAGGCACGAAUUUCAGCCCAAAACACCUAGCUAUGCCACACCCCCACGGGAACUCAGCAGUGAUAAACAUUGGGCCCUAAGCGACCACCAAGACAAGCUUGACCCAGCUAUAGUCAUCAGGGCCGGCCAACCUCGUGCCAGCCGCCGCGGUUAUACGAGGGGCCCACACCAACGCAUAACGGCGUAAAUUGUGACUAGAUAAUGCUAACAACUAAGGAGAGGAAACCCAACCUAUUGGUAAAAUACAGGAUAAAAGAACCCCCUUUGCUAAAAGCACUUUGAACUCACGAAAGCUAAGAAACAAACUAGGAUUAGAUACCCUACUAUGCUUAGCCAUUAAUAAGCCACCUAUCAACAAACACGGCCGCCAGAGAAUUACGAGCGAAAAGCUUAAAACUCAAAAGACUUGGCGGUGCCCCAAACUCAACUUAGAGGAGCCUGUCCUAUAAUCGAUACCCCACGAUAUACCAAACCCCCCUUUGCCAAAUCAGCCUAUAUACCGCCGUCGCAAAUCUACCUCACAAGAGAAACAACUGUAGGUAAAAUAGUCCACACUAAAACGUCAGGUCAAGGUGUAGCUAAUGGGGGGGAAGAGAUGGGCUACAUUCUUUAACAAUAAAGCACACAGAAAGAGCCAUGAAACCUCUCUGAAAGGUGAAUUUAAUAGUAAAACUGGCAAGAAAGCCAGUUUAAAACCUGCUCUGGGACACGCACACACCGCCCGUCACCCUCAU